rnacentral:rRNA from 1 species
AGCGAACGCUGGCGGCAGGCCUAACACAUGCAAGUCGAACGAACCUUUCGGGGUUAGUGGCGGACGGGUGAGUAACACGUGGGAACGUGCCUUUAGGUUCGGAAUAACUCAGGGAAACUUGUGCUAAUACCGAAUGUGCCCUUCGGGGGAAAGAUUUAUCGCCUUUAGAGCGGCCCGCGUCUGAUUAGCUAGUUGGUUGAGGUAAUGGCUCACCAAGGCGACGAUCAGUAGCUGGUCUGAGAGGAUGAUCAGCCACAUUGGGACUGAGACACGGCCCAGACUCCUACGGGAGGCAGCAGUGGGGAAUCUUGCGCAAUGGGCGAAAGCCUGACGCAGCCAUGCCGCGUGAAUGAUGAAGGUCUUAGGAUUGUAAAAUUCUUUCACCGGGGACGAUAAUGACGGUACCCGGAGAAGAAGCCCCGGCUAACUUCGUG